CAUUUCGCCGCGUUUCGCCGAAGCGGUUUUCUUGUUGAUUUUUGGCAAUCAAACGUCAAAGUGUUAGGAAAAAAAUCGGAAAACUUGUUCGGUCAUGUUUUCAUGGUUUUCAUUCGCGCCACGUUUUUCGAAGAAAAAAAAAAAACCAUUUUACUGUGGAAAUAAAAGGUGAGUUACGCUGCAUUUCUGAUGAUUCGGACCAUUAACCCAAUAACCGACGACUCCUUCAGAUUUCUGGACACCGUUCCCGGGCUCGGCGGAACCGGCUUCUUGCAUGUGUCUUCCAGUUUCUCCAUCCUGGUUAUGUUGCCCAGUUACGAAGCGGAUUGCGAAACGAUAUCAACCGGCAGCUGCGCACGGCCGGGGAACCGGUCAAAUAUGAGGAGAUUCAGGUCGAAGGAAUCUACGCGGUGCCGUACGAAAACUGCUUCUACCGGGUUGUGGUGCUGGAAAAGAUCGCCUCGUCGAAGAGCUUGGUUGGUCAUUCCGUCAACGGAGUUGCGACCGCCGCUGCUGUUGAUGAAGACUGCCCAACUUUGCCUUCGGUUUUGACCGGCUUACGUGCGAUUAGCAGUCUUCCACCAUGAAGGCCACCUUCAAGGACGUCGAGGGAAAGCGCCAGCUUUCCGGAACUUUGUCUGGGACUUCAAGCAGGUCGACAUCAACUACAGGCCGCAGGAUAAAAGCAUCGUCCGGAUCGUCCAGAUUACAUAACAUCUUGAUGAACUCGCGAUGCCGUACCGGGCUUAAGUCUUGAAAGUCGUCUCCGCGAACGCCGUCGAAGUCUUCGAUCUGGACAACGGCUCCAUCAAAACGGCCCCCUCGGACAAGUUGCGUGGUUCCACAGGGUUUACCCGCACCGCCGUUUAAAGUCCCGGACUGAUCAUCGAGUAGCUGCAAGACUUGAGGUCCACCAAACGUCUCCUGCAGCAACUGUUUGAAGUCAAGUCCUGUAUGUUCAACGGCCGUCGCUGACCGACCUGAAAAUGAACCGCUCGCUGGGUGUCCUGCUGCUGGAGAACCACGACAAGAAGCUCAACGAGGCGGCCAAAGCGGAAAAGCUCAAGAGCGAGCACAGGAGGUAGAAGCUGCUUGGCAGGCCAAGGCAGAAGCUGAACGUAAACAGCAGGAACAGGAAGCGGAAAUCGAACGCAAAAAGUGCCAAUAGAAAGAGGCCACUUCAAUAUUUUGUCUGUUAACCUACAAAAAUAAUAACUAAAAUAAGGGGACUCAGGGUUGGGCCGCGUUUCAUUCAACGAUUAAUAUAACGGAAAAUAAAUAAAACUACUUUAAAGUAAGAAAAUCAAGAUAAAUCAACCUUUCUGGUUGAAUUCCAAUAAUUUGGAUUCAACCAAAACAAAAAAGAAAAACACCUA